AUUGAACGCUGGCGGCAUGCCUUACACAUGCAAGUCGAACGGCAGCACGGGGGCAACCCUGGUGGCGAGUGGCGAACGGGUGAGUAAUGCAUCGGAACGUCCCCGGAAGUGGGGGAUAACGUAGCGACAGGUAUGCUAAUACCGCAUAUUCUGUGAGCAGGAAAGUGGGGGGCCGCAAGUCCUCACGCUAUCGUAGGGGCCGAUGUCGGAUUAGCUAGUUGGCGGGGAAAAGGCCCACCAAGGAGACGAUCCGUAGGGGGUCUGAGAGGAUGAUCCGCCACACUGGGACUGGGACACGGCCCAGACUCCUACGGGAGGAAGCAGUGGGGAAUUUUGGACAAUGGGCGCAAGCCUGAUCCAGCCAUGCCGCGUGAGUGAAGAAGGCCUUCGGUUUGUAAAGCUCUUUCGGCGGGGAAGAAAUUGCUUAGGUUAAUACCUUGAGUAGAUGACGGUACCAGCAUAAGAAGCACCGGCUAACUACGUGCCAGCCGCCGCGGUAAAAC
rnacentral:rRNA from 1 species